GACGAACGCUGGCGGCGUGCUUAACACAUGCAAGUCGAACGGAAAGGCCUUUUCGGCGGUACUCGAGUGGCGAACGGGUGGGUAACACGUGGGUGAUCUGCCCUGCACUCUGGGAUAAGCCUGGGAAACUGGGUCUAAUACCGGAUAGGACCGCACUUUAGUGUGUGUGGUGGAAAGUUUUUUCGGUGUAGGAUGAGCCCGCGGCCUAUCAGCUUGUUGGUGGGGUAAUGGCCUACCAAGGCGGCGACGGGUAGCCGGACUGAGAGGUUGGUCGGCCACAUUGGGACUGAGAUACGGCCCAGACUCCUACGGGAGGCAGCAGUGGGGAAUAUUGCACAAUGGGCGCAAGCCUGAUGCAGCGACGCCGCGUGGGGGAUGACGGCCUUCGGGUUGUAAACUCCUUUCGCCAGGGACGAAGCGUUUUGUGACGGUACCUGGAGAAGAAGCACCGGCUAACUACGUG
rnacentral:rRNA from 1 species